CGGGUAGCUCAGCUUGGUAGAGCGCUCGUUUCGGGUGCGAGAGGUUCGCGAGUUCAAGUCUCGCCACCCCGACCA
rnacentral:tRNA from 1 species